rnacentral:rRNA from 1 species
AAGCUGCUUGCUGGUUCGCUGAGGAGUGGCGCAGGGGUGAGUCGCGUGUGGGAUCUUGCCUGAUGGAGGGGGAUAACUACGGAAAACAGUGCCUAUAACCGAUUAACGCCUUAAGACCAAGUAGGGGGACCUUAGAAUGCUCUUGCCAUCCUAUGUGCUGAUAUGGGAUUAGUCUAAUAUGUGGGGUAACGGCUCACCUAGGCGACGAUCCCUUACUGGUCUGAGAGGAUGACCAUGACACACUGACAACUGAGACAGAGACCAGACUCCUACUCCUAGGCAGAGGUGGCGGAAUAUUGAUCAUUGGGCGCAAGCCUGAUGCAGCCAUGCCGCGUGUAUGAGAAAGGCCUUCGGGUUGUAAAGUACUUUCUCCGGUGAGGAAGGGAGUAAAGUUAGUAACUGUGCUCAUUGACGUUACCCGCAGAAUAAGCACCGACUAACUCCGAGCCAGCAGCCGCGGUAAUACGGAGGGUGCAAGCGUUAAUCGUAAUUACUGGUUAUUAAAGCGCACGCAGGCGGUUUGUUAAGUAUUAUGUGAAAUGCCCGAGGCUCAACCUGCAAAACUGCAUCUGCAUACUGAAACUGCUUAGACUCUCAGUAGCAGGGAGGAGUA